rnacentral:lncRNA from 1 species
AAUAAAAUUGAGAAUGGAAAUGGGGAAUGUGCCAAAGAGACAACAACCCGACCAUAGAGCAGACAACAGCAGAAGGUCACCAACAGGUCUCCAAUGCAACGAGAAAUUCUCGCACCCGGAGGCGUCCUUCAGCUGGCCCCUAAACAAAUAUAUACUGGUUCAGUGAUAAUGAACACCAUACUAAACUCCAAAUUGUACAAAAGAAACUAAAAGUUAAAAUAAUACAAGACUAACAAAGGCC